UUCAGUUUAGGAUGAGCACAGGUGUGAUGAUAUUAUUCGCCCCUUUGCAACUCUUCUUUCUUUCUCAAGUGCACAAAGCACAGAAUUUGCCGUAGCUGCUAUUGCUUUCUGCUAAUUCAUUUGUGAUGGAUAGCUGGUACUUCUAGUUAAUUUGUUCCAUUCUCACAGACAUCCAUCCCUCUUGUUGCAGCUGCCACCAAUGAAGAUGACAUUGAACUUGAUGGCACUGAGCAUGUGCUGGAGGAGUAGUUCUAGGAGAUGCUAUGCAGCAUGCUUGAUGGUGUAAACAAGAAGCUGUUCAAAACUGUGUUUUAUUCUGGAUUUCCUAGAGAUAAACUGUGAUAUCCAUGGAGAUACAUUAAAAGGAGUCAAGUGUUCAUCUGUGCUCCUGGUAUAUAGUUCUUUGGAUUGUGGCUUAUAGGCUGUGUCAGCUAGCUGCAGCAACAGCCAGCAGUUUUGUAGAUUAAUUUUCACUCUUGCUUUUGUUCCUGUAGUUAACUUUCAGCAUACUUUUAACUUUGUUCAGAUGGGAGGUCUUAGAGGUGGCAUGAUGGUUGAUCAACAAGUGGAUUAGUGCUCAUGGAGACUUCUAUUUUGGGCGGAGACUUCUAUUUUGGGUUGUGCUCAUGGACACUUUUAUUUUGGGCAGUGCUUAUUUGGAAUAUCUAGGCUGGCUCCCCUUAUUUUGUAAAUGUGGCUGCUGCUUAUACCGUGGCCAGUGACAAACCCAACAUAUGAUCUAGCUAGCUUGACUUAGCACUGUGACAACAAAUGAUGUCUAUAAUGAAGCUUUGCUGUUCAACCAAUUAUAUAUGUAUUGGGUUCAUAUGAAAACUCUGAGCUCUAUUAUUUUAGUCAAUUCCAUGUUUGAUAUCUGUUGGCUUCAAAUGAAAAACAUGAUCUAUAUAUCUUUAUUCAAGUGUGCUUGAUA